GUGAGGUAACGGCUCACCAAGGCGACGACGGGUAGCCGGCCUGAGAGGGCGACCGGCCACACUGGGACUGAGACACGGCCCAGACUCCUACGGGAGGCAGCAGUGGGGAAUAUUGCACAAUGGGCGAAAGCCUGAUGCAGCGACGCCGCGUGAGGGAUGACGGCCUUCGGGUUGUAAACCUCUUUCAGCAGGGAAGAAGCGAAAGUGACGGUACCUGCAGAAGAAGCGCCGGCUAACUACGUGCCAGCAGCCGCGGUAAUACGUAGGGCGCGAGCGUUGUCCGGAAUUAUUGGGCGUAAAGAGCUCGUAGGCGGUCUGUCGCGUCGGAUGUGAAAGCCCGGGGCUUAACCCCGGGUCUGCAUUCGAUACGGGCAGACUAGAGUGUGGUAGGGGAGAUCGGAAUUCCUGGUGUAGCGGUGAAAUGCGCAGAUAUCAGGAGGAACACCGGUGGCGAAGGCGGAUCUCUGGGCCAUUACUGACGCUGAGGAGCGAAAGCGUGGGGAGCGAACAGGAUUAGAUACCCUGGUAGUCCACGCCGUAAACGGUGGGAACUAGGUGUUGGCGACAUUCCACGUCGUCGGUGCCGCAGCUAACGCAUUAAGUU
rnacentral:rRNA from 1 species